AUUCUAAGAGAGAGUGUGAGGGAAGCUUUGUAAAAAAGGGGUGUAAAGGUUCUCUCCUGAGCCUGCAAAAGGAGAAUAGAGUUGUAAGGAGAUUGAUCUUCGCCUAUUAAAGGAAGAUCAUUAGUGGAUGCUGGUGGCCUCGACGGAAGGGGAAUCGGCGGAGUGGAUGUAGGUUACGGCGACAAAACCACUAUAAAAACUUGGUUUGCAUUUCUAUUCUUGCUAUUUACCUUCACUGCAAACUACUUACUUGCUUUACUUUCAUUACGCUUACGAAUACGAUUUCAAAGUUAACAUCUCUCCGAAACGAUUUUCGUCGAAAUCGGUUUUAAUCGAACGAAGAUUUUUUAAACCGAGGUAAUCUUUCCGCUGCACUAAUUCACCCCCCCCACCCCCCCCUCCCUCUUAGUGCCGACUCGUUCCUAACAGUUGGUAUCAGAGCCACGUUUUUCUCAUUUUGUUUAACACCCAAAGAGAAAUAUGACUCUUUUCGGCUUUCAAAAGGGUCACUCUCUCAUUCGUCCUCCUAUGUUCAAUGGGACGGACUACAUAUAUUGAAAAACUCAAAUGAGAGUUUUCUUGCUUUAUUUGGAUUUAAAUUUAUGGAGUAUUAUUGAAAAUGACUUUCAAAAAUCUUCAAAACCAAUGAACGAAUGGAAUGAUUUGGAGAAGAAGAUUUUUUCUUUAAAUGCUAGAGCUAUGAAUGAUCUAUUUUGCGCCUUAGACAAAAACGAAUUUAAUUGUGUUUCUAUGUGCGAAACGACUUUCGAUAUUUUGCACUCUUGAAAUCACACACGAAGGCACUACUAGAGUUAAAGAUUCUAAAGUCAAUCUUUUAAUGCACGAUUUUGAACUAUUUCAAAUAAAGCUAAGCGAAACUAUUGUUGACAUGUACACCCAUUUGACGGAUGUCGUCAAUAGUUUAAAAGCACUUGGCAAAUGUUUUUUGAAUUUUGAAAUUGUUAAUAAAAUUUUACGAUCACUUUCUAAAAAUUGGGAUUCAAAAGUAACGACAAUACAAGAAUCAAAAGAUUUGAACCAUUUUCCAAUCGAAGAACUAAUUGCGUCUUUAAUAACCUUCGAAAUGAGUUUUAUAACACAUGUGGCACAAAACGAACUUAAGAACCACCUUUCAAAGAAUAAAAAGGAUUUCGGACUAAGAACAAUCGAAUAUCACUCGAGCAUAAGCUCAAGUGAUGGUGAACUUGAACUCCUCACCAUAAAAUUUAAAAAGUUCAUGAAACAAAAAUUAAAGAACAAAAAGAACACAACUACUUACUAUGAACGCAAGAAGAGGGAACCACUUUGGGACGAAUCGAGCUCAUCCGUAGACGAGUAAAAAAUCAACAAAAACGAUGUGGCAAACUACGCCUUAACGGCUUUUGACGACGAGGUAAUCAAAAUCCCCUUAGUUUAUUUCAAAAUUACAUUAUGCUUUUCAUGAGUUAUUUUUAAUUUAGUUUAAUUAUUUUUUCUUGAAAAUUACAUGUUUAAUAAUGUAAUAAAAAUGCUAAAAAAAUGGGAUCAUGCUAGUAAUUUUAAAAAUGAUCAUGAUAAUUAUAUGUUUUACGAAAAUAUAAUAAAAUAAUAAUUCUAUGCAUGUUUUAAGAAGCAAUAAUGAUUUUCGUAUUGCCUUUUGAUUAUAAAUGAUGAUGCAUGACUUUUAUAUGGAAAACUAAGCAUGAAAAGUUAGAUUCACCUAAAAAGAAAAAUGCAUAACUACAACAAACAAAAUAAUUUUGAUGGAAAAUGAUUUAUGAAAUCAUUCUUGAUGUUUUAAUGAUGUAAUGAAGUAAUAAUUUGUAUCAUAAUGAUUUUUAUUGAGCUUGAUGAUUUCUAUGAUUUUUUUUGCUCUUUCGAUUUUAAACUAUGAUGUAUGGUUUUCAUACGAAAAACUUGAGCAUCCUAAUAUGAAAUCAAUCACACAAAAUGAAACACAUAAAAAGAAAAUUGUAUUAUCAUUGGAAUCAAAAUGAUAAACCAAAUCGCUUGUUUAAAGAAGUCUUAUGUUUAAUGUGUUAUAUUUUUUGUCAUGAUGAGAAAAUGUUUUUUGGUUUAAAUGAUGAUAUAUGCUUCGAUUUGGCAUAAAUGAAAAAGGCAUACUUCUAUGAAACAAACAACUUAAAAUGAAAUAACCAAAAAGAGAAUGCAUUUUGAAAAUAAAUGUUUAUAUCAUAUUUGAUGAUUUUAUAUUUUUUAAACUAUGCAUGAUGAGUUGAAGUAGUAAUGGUUUGAAUGCAUGAAUCGACAAUUUUUUUUGUCACACGAAUCAUGACUUCGUCACUUGAUACUCUAAUUUUUUUUUUAUGAUUCAUGAAAAAUUGAGACAUUAUGCAUGAAUCAAGUUCUCGUGUGAAUCUAUCUAUGUUGCCUUCAUUAAAUUUUUCGAAAAGUGAUUUUGAUGAUCAUUUUGAUUAUUUAAAAGGAGAAUUAUCGAAAUGAUUCAUGGAAUUUUGGAUUCAUGACUUGAUCUUUCAUUUGUUUAUAAGAUAGUUCAAAUUUUUGUACCUUCGAAUUUUUCCCUUCUCCUUUCAAUUUUUUGAAAUUAUGCAUGUUAUAUGUUGAAGAUUUGAAAACAUGUUUUGAUAUCAUGAAUACCCAAGAAAUGUUGAUUUGACAAAUUGAAUGAGUUGAAAACAAAUGAUGAUUUUUUUUUCUCUUGAUUAUAACUUGUGAUACUUCUUAUAUGAAUCAUCAUCUUGAUUUCUCGAUAUUUGAUACCAUCAUAAUGUGAAAUAUUUAUGAUUUGGAAUGAUGCAUGCAAUACUUAUGAUUUCAUUAUGAUGAUAUGAUGUAUUGCAUAUGAUGUGAAUCAUAUUUAAAAUUACUUUAAUUUGAAUUCAAUUUGAAUUCAAGGUUUAUCUCAAUGACAUAUUGUAAUAAGAGUAACACUUUAUCUUUGUCAUGAUUUAAAAAUUGUUGUAAAGGAAAAAAGAGAUACAAAAUUAUAUUCUUCCCUUCUUUUUGACAAUGACAAAGGGGGAGAUAACUUGCUUGCUUGCUCAUCUAAAGAGUAGCAAAAAUUGCAAACGUACAUAUCGCUAAAAGAGGCAAAACUUUUUAGUUUGCUCAUCUUAAAAGCAAGAAAUGCUAUCUUACAAUCUCAAGAGAAGCAAUAGUGCUAUCUUGCCUAUCUCAAGAAGCAAAACUUGCAACUUGCACAUUGCAAAAGGAAGCAAGAAUCGCUAGCUUGCACACUUCAACAAGAAAGUUAUCUUGCAUUUGCUUUCGAAAUAUUACUAGCUUACACCUUCUAAAAUGAAAAAAAUAAAAAAAAAUUUUGCAAGCUUAUAUGUUGUAAACUUGCUCUCACUACCUUGCAUAUCUAAAACUUGAUAACUUGCAUGUUCUAAUAUGAUGUAACACUUGCUAAAUUUGCUAGCUUGCAUAAUAAUUAAAAUGGAGAUUAUGUUUAGUAUGCAAUGAUUUGAACUUAUAUCUCAAACACUUAAUAGUUGAACUUCUCUUUUUUGUUGAUAACAAAGGGGGAGAAGUAUGAUGUAAUGCAUAAGUUUUAUGAUAACAUGUUGCUUGGAUUUUUGAAUCCAAGAGUUCUAUCAAUAUGGUAUAUUGAUAGGGGGAGUUUAUUUAAACUCCGAGAGUUAAGGUUAACUUCGUCAUCAAUUAGUUGUCAUCAUCAAAAAGGGAGAAAUUGUUGAAUCUCGGAUUUUGAUAAUGAAACUAAUUGAUAAGUGUUUAUAAUUUGAUCUGUCUUUUGAGUGAUGUAGGAUGCUUCGAUAAGGAUAAGACAAUUAAAGCAUGAAGAAUUAUGUUGGGCUGGAGGAAAACAAGUCAGAAGAUUGGACGUCGAGUCGGAGGAUCGGUCGACGUAUCGACAGAAGGCUUCGGGCCAUGGAUUCGGGUAUCGAGCCAAGAAGAGCGGAUAUUGCACCAAGGAUAUCAAAGUUGCGGAGGUCAACUGGCCGAUUGGGCAAUAGGCCGCAAGAGAGGACGAUGCACCGAAUAAUCGGACGAAACGUCGAUGGACCAAUGACAUGUCGGACAACAUGAUUCAUGCUUAGUAAUAAUUGUUUAGAUCGAAGUAUGUUUUAUGUGUGCAGGAUUAACUACGAUAGCAAAACAUAAAGCAAAAUGAAGUUCCGGAGUCAAGAACGCGAUUUCGUUGGGAGUUCGAGAGUUCGUCGGAAGUCUGGACGUUCAUCGGAAUUACCAUCGGAAUUGGCCAAGAAGUCCAGGAGCUUGCCAAAGAAGUACAUCCGAACUCCCUAAGAAGAUCAUCCUAAAGUCUAGGUGCUUGCUGGGAGUCCGCUAGAACAUUGCCGAGAGAUCGUCGGAAGUUCGUCGGAAGAUCGCCGGAAGAAACCUAGACUUACGAACUUUGUUUAGCUUAGUAAAUGUCUUAAAAUUCAUAGUUAGCACAUAAUUGGGAUUAGAAUUGGGCCAACCCAAUUAGAGGAAAGUUGGGCCAAGUUUGGGCUGUGUUGGGCCAAGAGAAAGGUCCAAACAGUGACCAAAUAAGUGAAACCGUCGUGGCACAGUCUCCGAGACUAUGUCAGGUGGUGGUACCGCUAGUCUGGGCGAUGGUACCGCUAGUCUGGGCGGUGGUACCUGUUGAAUCUCGGAUUUUGAUGAUGAAGUCAAUUGAUGGGUUAAUUGAUCUAAACCAUAUUAUUGAGUUAAGUGUGCAGGAUUAACUACGAUAGCUUGAAGACAUAAAGCAAGUUUACCGGAGUCAAGUUCGAUGGGUGUUCGAGAGUCCGUCGAAAGUCCGAAUAAUCGUUGGAAGUGCUGCCGGAACCAACCGAGAAAGAAUCAGGGACUUGCCGAAGUUUUCAGAAGUCCGCCAGAAAGAUCGUCGGAGGUUCGCGGAGAUCACCGAGAAGGUUCGGAUACUUGCCAAAGACUCGUUGAACUCGCCACAAGACCGGGAGCCUGUUGGGAGUCCGCCGGAAGUUCGCCGGAAAGCUCGCUGGAAGGAAACUCGACGUUACCGGUUAAAAAUUUGCUUAAGGCUAUGUCUUAAUUUCGUAGUUUGCAUAUAAUUUGGGUUAGGAUUAAGGGUUAAUCCUAUAACCCGAUUAUGGGCCAAUUAGGCCCAAGUUUGGACUGGUUUGGGUCAAGUUUGGAGCCCAACUAGUGAGCUCGAACAGUCCAGGAAGUGGCACCGCCCAGAACCCGAGAGGUCCGGCGGUGGCACCACCAGUACACUGUCAGUGUCAGACACUGACAGGCAGUGGCACCGCCAGCACCGGGAAACCCAAAAGUAAUUCAAAUUUGGAGCCUAAAUUUGAAUCCUCUUGGGACCUAUAAAUACCCCCCAAUUCUCAACAAAGAUGACACCUUUUUGAGAAGUUAGAAAGUGAGAAAAAGCUCUAGUAAAGUCUUGUUUUCAAUAGCUUAAGUGUUCACCUCGUUCUUUCUCUUUGAAAAAAAUCUGUAAGAGUGUGAACCACUUGUAAGAAGGUUGUAAGAGGGGUAUUUGGUCCUUCCCCUUCAAAGUGAUUUGCUGGUGGAAGUUGGGAGCCUCAUCGAAGAAGGCUUCGAAAGUAGAUGUAGGUCAUUUGACCGAACCACUAUACAUCGUGGUAUUCCUUGAAUGUGUUAGUGUUUAAUUUUCUGAACCAUUUCUCUACUUAGCUGCAAAUCAUUCGGUUUUCAUCUCCCUACUCUUGACUACCUUUACUCGAGCUAUUUUAGCUAAGUCAUCCUUCGUCGAAUCGAAAUCUCAACACAUUUACGAAAUCGAUUUUAAACUUACGAGUUUUAAUCCGCUGCACUAAUUUACACCCCCCACCCCUCUUAGUGCCGCUCCGAUCCCAACAAUUGGUAUCAGAGCAAGGCUCACUCUCAUAUUUGGUUUAAUACCCAAGAGAGAUGGCUUACUCCGGCAUGCAAGAGGGUCACUCUAUUACACGUCCGCCUAUGUUUAAUGGGUCGGAUUACACGUAUUGGAAGACUCAUUUGAGGAUCUUCCUUAUUUCCAUGGAUUUUGAACUUUGGAAUAUUGUCGAAAAUGGAUUUAAAAAAUCUUCUCUUCCGAUGAGCGAAUGGGAUGAAUCGGAGAAGAAGGUUUUUGCUUUAAACGCAAAGGCUAUGAAUGCCUUGUUUUGUGCACUUGACAAAAAUGAAUUUAAUCGCGUUUCGAUUUGUGAUUCGACUUUUGAUAUUUGGAGAACUCUUGAGGUCGCUCAUGAAUGCACUAGCCGAGUAAAAGAGUCCAAAAUCAACAUUCUUGUGCAUUCUUACGAACUUUUCCGGAUAAAACCAAGUGAGUCCAUCGGAGACAUAUACACCCGUUUCACAUAUGUCAUCAAUGGACUCAAAGCUCUUGGUAAAGGUUUUUCUAACUUUGAACUAGUAACUAAAAUUUUAAGAUCCCUUCCAAAGAGUUGGGAUCCAAAAGUUACAGCCAUUCAAGAGGCCAAGGACUUUAAAACAUUUCCUCUCGAAGAACUUAUUGGGUCUCUAAUGACCUACGAAAUGACGUGCCAUGAUCAUGAAUAGCUCGAGAACCCCCUUCCAAAGAACAGGAAGGAUAUGAUACUUAGAACACAAGAAGACCACUUGAAAGGAACAUCAAGUGAUGAGGACAGUGACGAUGACGUUGCACUUUUAACUCGAAAAUUUAAAAAAUUUAUAAGAAAGAACAAAUUUAAAAAUGACACCAAAAACAAACUUGAACAUAAAAAGGACCAAGUAAUAUGCUACGAAUACAAGAAGCCGGGGCACUUCAAAAAUAAAUGCCCCCAAGCCAAGAAGAAGCAACCAAAGAAGAAGAAAGCUUUAAAAGCGACUUGGGAUGACUCAAGUGAUUUCGAGAAUGAAGAAGCUAACAACAAAGAGGAGGCAAACUUCGCGCUAAUGACUUUAGGAGGAGAGGUAUGUGAUUUAAUUAAUGAAGAUUUAUCUUUCGAUGAACUUUCUAUCGCUUUUCACAAAUUAUUUGAUGAGUGUAGAACUAUUAGUAAGAAGUUCAAUCUAUUAAAGAAAGAGCAUGCCUUACUACAAAAUAAGCUUGAUAGUCUUCAAACUCCUCCAUGUUCUAAGUGUGAACACUUAGAAGCAAUAAAAAAUGAGAAUUUACUACUUAAGGAGACCUUAAACAAGUUUAAGGUCGGUAGUAAAGGCUUGGACAGGAUCCUUGCAAACAAGGGUCACGUCGCAAAUAGAAGUGGAAUUGGUUUUGUGAGAGGAUCUCACCAAAAUCCUACCACCUUCAUUAAAGGACCCGCAUUACAUGUUUCACCUCAUUUGAAAUGCAACUUUUAUUGUAAAUCCGGACAUGUUGUUUACAAAUGUCCAUUUAAGAAAAUUAGUCCACAUAAGUUGAUAUGGGUUCCUAAAGGAACUAUAAAUAAUUCAAUGAUGAAUGACAAAAUUAGUAGAUCAAUUUUUUAGGUACCCAAAAUCAAAUGGGUACCUAAAAACCAUCCUCUUUUGUAGACAAACUCACAAGCUAGGAGCAAGAGAUGGUAUCUUGAUAGUGGAUGCUCAAGGCAUAUGACCGGAGAUCCAUCUCAUUUCUCUAUGCUCACUAGCAAAGAAGAAGAGUAUGUCACCUUCGGAGACAACAAUAAAAGUAAAAUCAUUGGCAAGGGAACCAUAGGUAACAAAUCAAAAUUUUCAAUUGAUGAUGUGUUGCUAGUUGAUGGAUUAAAACAUAAUCUCUUAAGCAUUAGUCAAUUAUGCGAUAAAGGUUACAUCGUUAGAUUUAAAUCUAAUGUGUGCAUUAUUGAAAAACCAAACAAUAACAUAUCAAUGAUUGCCUUAAAACAAAAUAAUGUCAACAUCAUCAACCUUAAUGAACUUAGUAAUGAAAUAUGCUUUUCCGCUUUAAAUGAUGAUGCUUGGCUUUGGCAUAGGAGAUUAGGUCAUGCAAGUAUGAAACUAAUAUCUAAGAUUUCAUCUAGAGAGUUAGUACGAGAGAUUCCCAAUAUGAAGUUUAUUAAGGACAAAGUGUGUGAUGCUUGUCAACUAAGAAAAUAAAUAAAAACUAGUUUCAAACCAAAAAAUCAAAUUAGCACCACUAGAUCAUUGCAAUUGAUUCAUUUGGACUUAUUUGAACCAAUUGACACAACGAGUCUAGGAAGAAGCAAAUAUGCCUUCAUAAUUGUAGAUGACUAUAGUAGAUAUACUUGGACCUAUUUCUUGGCUCACAAAAGUGAUUGUUUCAAAUGUUUCUCUAAAUUUUGUAAACUUACUCAAAACGAAAAAGGCUUCAUUAUUUCAUCAAUUCGGAGUGAUCACGAUGGCGAAUUUCAAAACCGUGACUUCCAAAGUUUUUGUGAAUCUAAUGGAUAUAACUACAACUCCACUUCGAGAAAUCCUCAACAAAAUGGGGUAGUUGAAAGAAAAAAUAAAAAUUUACAAGAAAUGGCAAGAACCAUGUUAAAUGAACAUAUUCUAUCUAAGUAUUUUUGGACCGAAACCGUUAAUACGGCUUGCUAUGUCAUGAAUAGGGUUCUAAUAAAACCAUCUCUAUCAAAAACUCUCUAUAAAUUAUGGAAUAACAAAAAACCAAAUGUUUCUUAUUUUAACAUUUUCAGUUGCAAAUGCUUUAUUUUGAAUGAAAAUGAUGCCUUAGGAAAAUUUGAUGCUAAAUCCAAUGAAGGCAUCUUUCUUUGUUAGUCUUCCGUUUUUAAGACUUUUCGUGUUUUUAACAAAAGAACUUUAGUUAUAGAAGAAUCUAUUCAUAUAGUUUUUAAUGAAAUUUUUGAGUUAAAGAAAAAUGAUUUUGAUGAUGAUCUUGGUUUUGAUAAUUUGAAUUUAAAUGAACCCCCUCCUCAAAAUAGCAACUUGGAUACAUCUUCUUCCGAAAUUUCCUUACCCAAGGAAUGGAAGUAUGUAGAUACUCAUCCAAAGGAGCUAAUUAUAGGAGAUACAUCAAAAGGGGUUCAAACUUGUUCUUCCUUCAAGAAUUUUUGUGCUAACGCCGCCUUCCUUUCUCAAAUUGAACCUAAAUGCAUUGACGAAGCCUUGAAAGAUGAUUCAUGGGUUAUUGCAAUGCAAGAGGAAUUAAACCAAUUUGAGAGGAAUGAGGUAUAGAAGCUUGUUCCUAGACCUAGUGACCAUUUAGUCAUUGGUACUAAAUGGAUCUUUAGAAACAAGCAAGAUGAAUGCGGUAUCGUGAUUAGAAACAAGGCUAAACUAGUGGCCAAAGGUUUCAACCAAGAAGAAGGUAUCGACUACGAAGAGACCUUUGCUCCUGUGGCAAGAUUAGAAGCCAUUAAUUAGGAUGCUCCUUGCCUAUGCUAGUAGUAAUGAUUUUAAACUAUUUUAAAUGGAUGUCAAAAGUGCUUUCUUAAAUGGUUUUAUUUCCGAAGAAGUGUAUGUUGAACAACCUCCCGGAUUUGAAAAUUCUCUUCUUCCUAAUCAUGUAUUUAAAUUGACUAAGGCUCUUUAUAACUUAAAACAAGCUCCUAGAGCUUGGUAUGAAAGGCUUAGUUCCUUUCUUAUUUUAAAUAAUUUUACAAAAAGUAAGGUUGAUACUACAUUGUUUAUCAAACAUUUUGAAAAUAAUUUUCUUAUUGUUCAAAUUUAUGUUGACGAUAUUAUUUUUUGUUCUUCGGAUGAAUCACUAUGUGAAUCAUUUGCCAAGUGUAUGAGUCAUGAAUUUGAAAUGAGCCUAAUGGGAGAACUAACCUUCUUUUUAGGAUUGCAAAUUAAACAACUUAGUAAUGGUAUAUUUCUUGAUCAAUCUAAAUAUACAUUAGAAUUGUUAAAACGAUUUAACAUGGAUGGUUCAAAAACUAUAAACACUCCUAUGAGUACUUCCACUAAGUUAGACAUGGAUGAAAGUGGUGAAAACUUUGAUCAAAAAAAAUAUAGGGGAAUGAUUGGUAGUUUACUUUACCUCAUCGCAACUAGACCGGAUAUCAUGUUUAGUGUAGGACUUUGUGCUAGGUUUAAAGCUAAUCCUAAAUUAUCUCGUCUUAAAUGUGUUAAAAGAAUCCUUAGAUAUCUUAAAGGAUCUCCUAAUUUUUUAUUAUGAUAUCUAAAAUCCGAUAAUUUUGAUUUAAUAGCUUAUGCAGAUGCCGAUUUUGACGGAUGUAGGAUAGAUAAAAAAAACACAUCCGGAACAUGUCAAUUUUUAGGACAUGCACUUGUUUCUUGAACUUCCAAGAAACAAAAUUCGGUUGCCUAUAAUAUUUGUGUCUCACCCGAUGAAGAAAUAAUCCAGAUCGAUCAAUUUAACACUAUCAACAGAAUCCUACUCAAGAGACUUAGGUGCGCUUUUGGCAAUGGUAUAUGGAUUAAGCAACCUAGAAGGACUGAUCCAGUUCCCCCACCAGUAAAACACCCUGAAACACCCAUUUUUAAGGGAAAUGAAUCUCCUCCUCCUAGUCCCUUUGGUGCAGCACCUUCAGAACCAGCUCCUGCUUCAUCUUCUGAAUAUCCCAUAACGGCAGAAUUAAAUCAAAUCAAAUUACAACAAGAGCAACUCAAAUCACAGCAAGAGCAAAUCCAUUUACAGCAAGUUGAAAUUUUGAGGGAACUACGACAGAUGAACCAGAAGAUAAAUGCCAUGUAUAAGAACUCUGGAAUUCCUCCUAAGGAAUAAUCGUUGUGUUAAACCUUUCUUAUUAUUGUAAACCUCUAUGCUACUUUGACAUGCGUUUGACAUUAUCCUAGUAUAUGAUGUUGGAUGUUUCUUUCCGAAAUUUUGCCAACAUUUUGAUGGCACCUUCAUGUUAUUUUGGAUGAUUUGAUGUCUUCCUUGAAUGAUCAAUCUUAAUGCCAAGUUGAAGCUUUGUCAAUUUUGACAUCUCCUUUUUAAGAUUUUUUUUCUUAUGAGAUGAUUUUAUAAAUGGCUUCAAUGAUCACGAGUUUUAUGCUUAAAAACUCAUCUCCUUUUUGUUGAUGAGAAAGAGGGAGAAAAAUGUGCAAAAGAUUGAUGACUUGUGCAAAUAUGAAAUUAGCAUGACUUAUAUGUAUCGUAUUGCAAUAGCUUAUAUGUUGUAUAAUGCAAUGAAAAAUGUCUUAUAUGUGUUAUAUUCCUUAAAAGUAUCGCAAAACUUUUUUAACAUAUCGUAUAUGAAAGUUUUUAGAUUGGUUGUCGUAUCAUGUUUAUCAUUUUUUUAUAUAUAUGAUAAGCAAUCAUCUCAUGAUCAUAUGAAAUCAUACCUUGUAUUUAUAUCAUGAGAUCCAUGUUGAAAUUUUAAAUUAUUAUUAUUUCUUAUCGAAAUGAUAAUUAUCAUUUAUCAUUCGGCUUGAAAAUAAUUUUCAUGCCUUGAAAUUAUGAGAAAUACGAAGUUUCGUAUUUGCUCAUGCUUAUUAAGAAUAACGAUAAGUUCAACGGAUAGAACUUAUCGGUUUAGGCUUUAAUUCAAAGAGAUUGAAUUCAAGUGUUUUUAUCUUCUCAUAAUAUGACAUAUAGAUAGGGGGAGUUAUGAUUAACUUCGUCAUCAAUUGAUUGUCAACAUAAAAAAUGGGGAGAUUGUUGAAUCUCGGAUUUUGAUGAUGAAGUCAAUUGAUGGGUUAAUUGAUCUAAUCCAUAUUAUUGAGUUAAGUGUGCAGGAUUAACUACGAUAGCUUGAAGACAUAAAGCAAGUUUACCGGAGUCAAGUUCGAUGGGUGUUCAAGAGUCCGCCGAAAGUCCAAAGAAUCGUCGGAAGUGCUGUUGGAACCAACCAAGAAAGAAUCAGGGACUUGCCGAAGUUUUCGGAAGUCCGCCGGAAAGAUCGUCAGAGGUUCGCGGAGAUCACCGAGAAGGUUCGGAUACUUGCCAAAGACUCGUUGAACUCGCCACAAGACCAGGAGCCUACCGGGAGUCCGCCGGAAGAAAUCCGAGGGUGUAUCGGUAGUCCGCCGGAUGUUCGCCGGAAAGCUCGCUAGAAGGAAACUCGACGUUGCUGAUUAAAAAUUUGCUUAGGGCUAUAUCUUAAUUUCGUAGUUUGCAUAUAAUUUGGGUUAGGAUUAAGGGUUAAUCCCAUAACCCGGUUAGGAGCCAAUUAGACCCGAGUUUGGACUGGUUUGGGCCAAGUUUGGAGCCCAACCAGUGAGCUGGAACAGUCCAGGCGAUGGCACCGCCGGACUGGGCAGUGGCACCGCCCAGAACCCGAGAGGUCCGGCGGUGGCACCACCAAUAUACUAUCGGUGUCAGACACUGACAGGCGGUGGCACCGCCACUGAUAGGCGGUGGCACCGCCAGCACCGGGAAACCCAAAAGUAAUUCAAAUUUGGAGCCUAAAUUUGAAUCCUCUUGGGGCCUAUAAAUACCCCUCAAUUCUCAGUAGAGAUGACACCUUUUUGAGAAGUUAGAAAGUGAGAAAAAGCUCUAGCAAAGUCUUGUUUUCAAUAGCUUAAGUGUUCACCUCCCUCUUUCUCUUUGAAAAAAAUCUGUAAGAGUGUGAACCACUUGUAAGAAGGUUGUAAGAGGGGUAUUUGGUCCUUUCCCUUCAAAGUGAUUUGCUAGUGGAAGUUGGGAGCCUCAUCGAAAAAGGCUUCGAAAGUAUAUGUAGGUAAUUUGACCAAACCACUAUACAUCGUGGUGUUCCUUAAAUGUAUGAGUGUUCAAUUUUCUGAACCAUUUCUCUACUUAGCUGCAAAUCGUUCGGUUUUCAUCUCCCUACUCUUGACUACCUUUACUCGAGCUAUUUUAGCUAAGUCAUCCUUCGUCGAAUCGAAAUCUCUACACAUUUACAAAAUCGAUUUCAAACUUACGAGUUUUAAUCCGCUGCACUAAUUCACCCCCUCCCCCCUUAGUGCCGCUCCGAUCCUAACAGUACCGCCCAGACACAGUCUUCUAGGCGGUGGUACCGCCCAAUGUCAGGCUACAAGCGAUGUUAACGCCCAGUGCAGACGAUGGUACCGCCCAGUGCAGGCAGUGGUACCGCCCAAUGCAGGCGGUGGUACCACCCGUACCCUGAAAUUUCAGAGGAUUUGAAUUUUGGCUCCAUUUUUCAAGUCAUUUGGGGUCCAUAAAAAUCCUAGCUAUUCUUGCAUAGAGAAGCAAAAAAAGUGAACAAAAACUCUGUGUUUCUAAAGUUGAAAACCCUUGUAAAGUAUAUAGUCCCUCAUCCUAAAGUUUAGAAAUCAUUCUAAGAGAGAGUGUGAGGGAAGCUUUGUAAAAAGGGGGUGUAAAGGUUCUCUCCUAAGCCUGCAAAAGGAGAAUAAAGUUGUAAGAAGGAGGUUGAUCUUCGCCUAUUAAAGGAAGAUCAUUAGUGGAUGUUGGUGGCUUCGAUGAAAGGGGAUUCAGCGGAGUGGAUGGAGGUCACGGCGACCGAACCACUAUAAAAACUUGGUUUGCAUUUCUAUUCUUGCUAUUUACCUUCACUGCAAACUACUUACUUGCUUUACUUUCAUUACACUUACGAAUACAAUUUCAAAGUUAACAUCUUUCCGAAACGAUUUUCAUCGAAAUCAGUUUUAAUCGAACGAAGAUUUUUUAAACCGACGUAAUCUUUCCGCUGCACUAAUUCACCCCCCCUCUUAGUGCCGACUCGUUCCUAACACCUAGUUGUUGCCUUUUCAUAACAAAUCAAUAUGUAAAUUUCAUGCUAUUAUUUCAGAAGAGCAACUGAAAUUUUAAGUUAGAA
rnacentral:lncRNA from 1 species